GACGGUUCUCGGGUGACACACCCCAGAAUCAGGCUCCCUCUCUGGUUCUGGGGUGUGUCACCCAAGAACCACC
rfam:Myotis brandtii contig159845, whole genome shotgun sequence.